rnacentral:rRNA from 1 species
GAUGAACGCCAGCGGGAGGCCUAACACAUGCAAGCCGAGCGGUAUUUGUUCUUCGGAACAGAGAGAGCGGCGCACGGGUCCGGAACACGUGUGCAACCUGCCUGUAUCGGGGGGAUAGCCUUUCGAAAGUCAGAUUAAUACCCCAUAAUAUAUUGAGUGUCAUCAGUUGAUAUUGAAAACUCCGGUGGAUAGAGAUGGGCACGCGCAAGAUUAGAUAGUUGGUGAGGUAACGGCGCAACAAGUCAAUGAACUUUAGGGGGCCUGAGGGGGGGAUCCCCCACACCGGUGACGAGGCGCAGACCAGAGUGCUACGGGAGGCAGCAGAGAGGAAUAGUGGACGAUGGGUUCGCGCCUGAUCCAGCCAUCACGAGUGAAGGAAGACGGCCAUAUGGGUUGCAAACUACUUUUGGAUAGGGAUAAACCUACUCUCGUGAGAGUAGCUGAAGGUACUAAACGAAGAAGCACCGGCUAACUCCGUG